rnacentral:rRNA from 1 species
CCUAUGGGAGGCAGCAGUGAGGAAUAUUGGUCAAUGGGCGCGAGCCUGAACCAGCCAAGUAGCGUGAAGGAUGACUGCCCUACGGGUUGUAAACUUCUUUUAUAAAGGAAUAAAGUGAGGCACGUGUGCCUGUUUGUAUGUACUUUAUGAAUAAGGAUCGGCUAACUCCGUGCCAGCAGCCGCGGUAAUACGGAGGAUACGAGCGUUAUCCGGAUUUAUUGGGUUUAAAGGGAGCGUAGAUGGGUUGUUAAGUCAGUUGUGAAAGUUUGCGGCUCAACCGUAAAAUUGCAAUUGAUACUGGCAGCCUUGAGUACAGUUGAGGUAGGCGGAAUUCGUGGUGUAGCGGUGAAAUGCUUAGAUAUCACGAAGAACUCCGAUUGCGAAGGCAGCCUACUAAACUGCCACUGACAUUGAUGCUCGAAAGUGUGGGUAUCAAACAGGAUUAGAUACCCUGGUAGUC